CUGGCGGCGUGCCUAAUACAUGCAAGUCGAACGGUCUUUCUAUGGAAGCUUGCUUCCACUGAGAAGAUAGUGGCGAACGGGUGAGUAACACGUGGGUAACCUGCCCAUAAGAGGGGGAUAACAUCCGGAAACGGGUGCUAAUACCGCAUAGUUUUCUUGAUCGCAUGAUCGGGAAAGGAAAGACGGCCUUUGUGCUGUCGCUUAUGGAUGGACCCGCGGCGUAUUAGUUAGUUGGUGAGGUAACGGCUCACCAAGACGAUGAUACGUAGCCGACCUGAGAGGGUGAUCGGCCACAUUGGGACUGAGACACGGCCCAAACUCCUACGGGAGGCAGCAGUAGGGAAUCUUCCGCAAUGGACGAAAGUCUGACGGAGCAACGCCGCGUGAGUGAAGAAAGGUUUUCGGAUCGUAAAACUCUGUUGUCAGAGAAGAACAAGUUGGAGAGUAACUGCUCCAGCCUUGACGGUAUCUGACCAGAAAGCCACGGCUAACUACGUGCCAGCCGCAGC
rnacentral:rRNA from 1 species